GAUGAACGCUGGCGGCGUGCUUAACACAUGCAAGUCGAGCGAAGCAGUUAAGAAGAUUCUUCGGAUGAUUCUUAAUUGACUGAGCGGCGGACGGGUGAGUAACGCGUGGGUGACCUGCCCCAUACCGGGGGAUAACAGCUGGAAACGGCUGCUAAUACCGCAUAAGCGCACAGAGCUGCAUGGCUUUGUGUGAAAAACUCCGGUGGUAUGGGAUGGGCCCGCGUCUGAUUAGGCAGUUGGCGGGGUAACGGCCCACCAAACCGACGAUCAGUAGCCGGCCUGAGAGGGCGACCGGCCACAUUGGGACUGAGACACGGCCCAAACUCCUACGGGAGGCAGCAGUGGGGAAUAUUGCACAAUGGGGGAAACCCUGAUGCAGCGACGCCGCGUGAGCGAAGAAGUAUUUCGGUAUGUAAAGCUCUAUCAGCAGGGAAGAUAAUGACGGUACCUGACUAAGAAGC
rnacentral:rRNA from 1 species